rnacentral:lncRNA from 1 species
GGCAUAAGAGAUGAUAACCAUAAUGAUAUGAUGGUGGUGAUGAUGAACUUACAAAAUUUUGUAAAUAUACAGUAUUGGCCAAAAAUAGCAUGAUAAACUGGGAUGAAAUCAAACGCCACAGAUGUCAGCAAGUCGAGGACAAUCAAGCUAUACAUAAGUUUGGAUACCAAUCCCUGCCUUCUUAUGGAUUCAAUAGGAGUUUUGUCUGCUGAGGAAAAGCAGAUACAGCCCUCCAGCCCCUUCCAGCCACAGUUUCCACUGAAUAGACACUGCUUUAUGGUAUGUAGCCUCCCCACCCCCAACAUAUUUCACAGCAAUUGUAACAACGGUAUGAAUUACAAGUGAUAUGCUUUGAAUGUUAUUAUCCAUUUCCCCAUAUCUUGACAUUUGAGAUGUAACCAAGAACUUUGCAUCCCCUUGGACUGGUUGAAGGGGGAGAUUCUGAUUAAUGUCCUUUCAACUCCCAUCUGAAACACAUGGCUUGUAUUAGAGACAAGAUGAAUGAAUUGAUACAUUGGGAACGGCCUUCACAUUAGACGAACACGGCUUACUAAAGCUAGGAAUGUCCUAAUGAUUAAAUCUAUCCAUGUAUGUGAAUCAACGUAUCUCCUUUGGGGAACAGCUCUUUUAAAUGGGUUGUGUUCACCAGCAAAGGAAAAAUCCUCCCCAUCAUUGAACAGAAAUCAUCAUCUACGCACAUAACUGUGAACAUUGGAAAUUUAAUGAGCUGACAAUGCAAAAAUAAAUUUACCUUAUUCUUUGCUCUGCUCACUUAAAUUUACUCUCCUUCAAAUAUUUAGCUGAAAAAUACAAAAAUCCACUGACAAAAUUUGCAUUUUUACUAAUGUUAAAACUUCCCAGAUAAAAUACAGGACACUCAGUUGAACAUAAACUUCAGAUAAACAACAAAUAACCUUUUCAGUAUAAGUAUGUCCCAAACCUUGCAUGGGAGAUAAUUAUACUAAAAAUAUAUUUGUUUCAUCCGAAAUUCAAAUUUAACUGGGUGUCUUCAUUUUUACUUGCUAAAUCUGGCAACACUAACUACUGUGGACUCCACAUGCUGGAGUCUCAUU